GAAUAAUACAACAUAUAAAUUAUUUAAUAACAUGAAGUCCAAAUUAGAUAAACUAGAUAAAUCCAAUCUAGUGUAUGGAAUUAAAUGUAAUGGUGACGAAACCAACAUAUGCCAAAAGGUAUAUGUUGGUACAACGAAAACAAAACUGAGGACAAGAUUAUCAUCGCACAAAUCAGAUUUAAGAACACUUGACAAACCAUUAAAUCAAAAAACAGCCCUCGCUGCCCACUGUACAAUAACUGGACACCAACCAGACUUUGAAAAAGUGAGAAUAUUAGCUGGAGAGAACAAUCACACAAAACGUUACUUACAAGAGAUGCUCCACAUUAUAAAUACACCAACAGAAAAGAGAAUAAAUUACAAAACAGAUACUGACAACUGCGCUCACAUUUAUCGACAUACAAUAAAUAAAUACAGAAACAAUAAACAAAAGAAUAAAAUCCAAACAGUCAGUCAUAGAAGAUCAAAACAUAAACAACAGACGACACUGCAUUAAAAUUAAAUAACUUUCCCUGAAGAUGACCAACGAAGUUGGUCGAAAUAUUGGAAACCACAAUAAAUAUUAAUUAAACUAAGAACAAAAAAGAGUUUUUAA